UCGGUUCAAACUGUUCAUGACUCGUUGGGAGAGUUAUCUAGGACAUGUAUACAUUUUUUGGAAUAUAUUAUAAUAGCUGGGAAAGUGUAUUUGUUAAUAUUUGUUAAUAACUACCCAAACGAUGGGAAUGUUUGUUUGUUAGGAAUUCUAUAUGGAUAUCAAAAUGAUUUCGAUAUUUUAUUUCGGAUUUCUAUCUAUAUACAUACAUAUAUUCUUUCCCUUUAAGUACAAAUUUUUGUUUUUCGGCAGCUCUUCCAGUCCUCUGUCUCCCAGCCCGCCCGUUCAUCUGUCACCCAUUACCGCCUGAGCCUGCUCAAGAAAAAUUGGCAAACAAAAUUUUCAUAAUUUGCAUAAUGCGCCAAGCAAACAAUUGACUGGAUGGGGCUGUGCCGGAAGCGGAAUGAAAAUUGUUCAAGCGAAAAUUAAAAACACCCGAGACAUCCUGCAGUACGCCGUAGAGCAGCUGCCGAGCUGUGUGGGAAAUAAGAACUAUUUAAUUGAACGACCAGGCUAUAAUAGUAAUCCUUUAUGGCAAUCACAAAACACACAACCUUAUAUUGAAGUUUGGGAAUAUAUGUUGGAAUAAUCCCAGAAACCUCACUUGAAGUGCCCGAUCUUUGAUCAUUUCUAAAUACGAGCCACUGCAGUGCCUAUCUGUCUCACGAGUACCCCUAUUGUAUAACGAAUGGGAAACAAAGAACAAAUUAUUGCCCUGAGCCACAGUAACACCAGGACUGGGGACACAGGACAAAAACGGGAGUUACGAGUAUAGGGAGAGCCAUUUGUCACUGUGAAAUUUAUUAAAAUGAUUAUCUC